GACGAACGCUGGCGGCGUGCUUAACACAUGCAAGUCGAACGGAAAGGCCCUGCUUUUGUGGGGUGCUCGAGUGGCGAACGGGUGAGUAACACGUGAGUAACCUGCCCUUGACUUUGGGAUAACUUCAGGAAACUGGGGCUAAUACCGGAUAGGAGCUCCUGCUGCAUGGUGGGGGUUGGAAAGUUUCGGCGGUUGGGGAUGGACUCGCGGCUUAUCGGCUUGUUGGUGGGGUAGUGGCUUACCAAGGCUUUGACGGGUAGCCGGCCUGAGAGGGUGACCGGCCACAUUGGGACUGAGAUACGGCCCAGACUCGUACGGGAGGCAGCAGUGGGGAAUAUUGCAGAAUGGGCGGGAGCCUGAUGCAGCGACGCCGCGUGCGGGAUGACGGCCUUCGGGUUGUAAACCGCUUUCGCCUGUGACGAAGCGUGAGUGACGGUAAUGGGUAAAGAAGCACCGGCUAACUACGUG
rnacentral:rRNA from 1 species